GCGGGUGUGGCGGAAUUUGGCAGACGCACUAGAUUUAGGAUCUAGCGCCUAACAGCGUGGGGGUUCGAGUCCCUUCACCCGCACCA
rnacentral:tRNA from 1 species